GCAAGUCGAGCGUGAAAGCCUUCGGGUGAGUAGAGCGGCGGACGGGUGAGUAACGCGUGGGAAUCUGCCCAGUAGUGGGGGACAACUUAUGGAAACGUAAGCUAAUACCGCAUACACCCUACGGGGAAAAGGGGGCUUCGGCUCUCGCUAUUGGAUGAGCCCGCGUUAGAUUAGCUUGUUGGUGAGGUAAAGGCUCACCAAGGCGACGAUCCGUAGCUGGUCUGAGAGGAUGAUC
rnacentral:rRNA from 1 species